ACACUCCUGCGGGAGGCAGCAGUGGGGAAUUUUGGACAAUGGGCGAAAGCCUGAUCCAGCAAUGCCGCGUGAGUGAAGAAGGCCUUCGGGUUGUAAAGCUCUUUUGUCAGGGAAGAAACGGUGAAAGCUAAUAUCUUUUGCUAAUGACGGUACCUGAAGAAUAAGCACCGGCUAACUACGUGCCAGCAGCCGCGGUAAUACGUAGGGUGCAAGCGUUAAUCGGAAUUACUGGGCGUAAAGCGUGCGCAGGCGGUUUUGUAAGUCUGAUGUGAAAUCCCCGGGCUCAACCUGGGAAUUGCAUUGGAGACUGCAAGGCUAGAAUCUGGCAGAGGGGGGUAGAAUUCCACGUGUAGCAGUGAAAUGCGUAGAUAUGUGGAGGAACACCGAUGGCGAAGGCAGCCCCCUGGGUCAAGAUUGACGCUCAUGCACGAAAGCGUGGGGAGCAAACAGGAUUAGAAACCUCUGUAGUCCCAU
rnacentral:rRNA from 1 species